rnacentral:lncRNA from 1 species
GUCCUCUUGAAAUAAUACGGCUUCCUUCCAGCCGCUGGGGUCUGGCAUGCUCCCCAGCUCUGCUCAGCCUUUCUUUCAUCAGGCCUAGUCCCCGAAAGCACUUGCUCAUUUAGAUCAGCUGCAUCUGGCGUGUGCUGCCGGUACUUUCUCACCCUCUAGACUGUCACUCAUUUAUUCAUUCGGUGAUUUUCUGUUGUGUGACUGCUCUGUGCCAGGUACGUGGGGAACAUUGUAAAAACAAACCCUAAGUGCAAGGAGCUCUCGUUGGAAACAAACAGGGUG